CUUGGGCCUGGAAUGCAAAGGUAAAAGGAAACCAAAUCAGAUUUAUUUAACAACUUUUUACGUAAUUAUAAAAGUUAGAAGUAGCCACUGCAGAAAGACUAUCUGAUUAUUUCAGUUAAGUCUCUGCUAACCACAGUAGGUAAAAAAAUGCAUCCUUAUUAGAAUGGCAUGUAAAUAGGCCUUAUUCUACUUGGAUGUAUAUGCCACAUUUUUAAUGGUGCACGUGUUUGGGCACUUGAAGGUGACAUUUCUGUAACAUUCUAAGUAGCAGGUGGGUAACUUCCACCAUUGUCCCAGGAAUGUAAAUGAAGCCAAAAGUUUUAACACUGAUAAAUUUGAGGGGGGGUUUGUUUGUUUGUUUUCGGCAGAGCACUUAUGGGUUGUUUCUGUUCCCAGUGUUAACUGCAGGAGUUCGAGAAUGCAGAAUGAUGAAUAGAAUUCCUGUGAUUCCCAGUGCACUUGACGUCAGGCUGCUGCUGUGUGCUCAGCACAAGCAGUCUGCAGGGUUAACUGGCCAGAUGGUCUUCCUUCAGCCCCUCCAAUGCUGUAAGGCAGCUUGAAAGAAGAACCAGGGUUUGUGAUUGAGAGACCCAGGCUUCCAGCGUGCACCACUGCUAUGAUCAUAAGGGGUCUGUGCAUAAGGCAGCCACCUUGGUGGCAGCACAGAGAGGCAAAAUACAGCAAUCAUGUGACUCGUGAGCCCUGAGUCAUGACUGCCUGGGCUUCGUGCUUUGCAGGCUUGGUGAUCCACCUAGCACUUGCCUGCUCAUUUCACCAUAGCAGCUACUGAAAUUCCUAGAAGAAUCACCACUGUGAUGGAGCCUAUAAUCCGGAUGUCAUUGGUUGGAUCCACCAUCAUCGAAUCACUCUCCUGGGGAAACAAAUUAUUAAGUGCUUAGAGAUACAGCUUUUUGCAUGUGAGUCUUAUCGCAGCAUUUAACAGUAAAAAGAGAUACUAUACAG